rnacentral:rRNA from 1 species
CCAAUCGAACCCGGAGAUAGCUGGUUCUCCUCGAAAUAGCUUUAGGGCUAGCCUCAUACAAGUCUUGCGGAGGUAGAGCACUGAAUUUCCUAGGGGGCGUCAAAGCUUACCGAAGAAUAUCAAACUCCGAAUGCCGUGUAGAUGUUGUAUGGGAGUCAGACUGUACGAGAUAAGUUGGACAGUCAAAAGGGAAAGAGCCCAGACCUGCAGCUAAGGCCCCAAAAUGUGUGUUAAGUGGAAAAGGAUGUGGGAUUUCAAAGACAACUAGGAUGUUGGCUUAGAAGCAGCCAUACAUUCAAAGAGUGCGUAAUAGCUCACUAGUCGAGAGGUCCUGCGCCGAAAAUGUCCGGGGCUGAAACACACUACCGAAGCUCAGGAAUUAACGUAGUUAAUUGGUAGAGGAGCAUUCUUAAAGGGAAGAAGCAGUACCGGAAGGAGCUGUGGACUUUUAAGAAGAGAGAAUGCCGGAAUGAGUAGCGAGAGGAAGGUGAGAAUCCUUCCGGCCGAAUAUCUAAGGUUUCCAGAGUAAAGCUGAUCUGCUCUGGGUAAGUCGGGGCCUAAGGCCAGGUCGAAAGACGUAACCGAUGGACAACAGGUUGAAAUUCCUGUACCUUAAGUAAACAGAACUGUGGGGACACGUGUGGAGAGCACAAGCCGGAAAUGGAAAAGCCGGUGCAAGCGGGGUAGGAGUACAGUAGGCAAAUCCGUUGUACAAUCCGAAGACGUGAUGCGGACCGAAUUAAGAGUAGGGAAGUGUGUGAGCCAUGCGUCAAGAAAAGCCGCUAUUGUUUUACUUAAGCCCGUACCGUAAACCGACACAGGUGGAUGAGGAGAGAAUCCUAAGGCCGACGGGAGAAGCAUUGUUAAGGAACUCGGCAAAAUGACUCCGUAACUUCGGGAGAAGGAGUGCCAGCGAGAGCUGGCCGCAGAGAAUUGGCCCAAGCAACUGUUUAGCAAAAACACAGGUCUAUGCAAAACCGUAAGGUGAAGUAUAUGGGCUGACGCCUGCCCGGUGCUGGAAGGUUAAGAGGAGAGGUUAGCGGUAACGCGAAGCUUUGAAUUUAAGCCCCAGUAAACGGCGGCCGUAACUAUAACGGUCCUAAGGUAGCGAAAUUCCUUGUCGGGUAAGUUCCGACCCGCACGAAAGGCGUAAUGAUUUGGGCACUGUCUCAACAAUGCACCCGGUGAAAUUGAAAUACCAGUGAAGAUGCUGGUUACCUGCGCCAGGACGGAAAGACCCCAUGGAGCUUUACUCCAGCUUGAUACUGGGAUUCGGUAUUGCAUGUACAGGAUAGGUGGGAGGCUGUGAAAUGGUAACGCCAGUUGCCAUGGAGCCGCUGUUGGGAUACCACCCUUGCAGUACUGGGUUUCUAACCAGCAGCCGUGACCCGGC